AUUGAACGCUGGCGGUAUGCCUUACACAUGCAAGUCGAACGGUAGAGGGGAAACCCUUGAGAGUGGCGAACGGGUGAGUAAUACAUCGGAACGUGCCCAGUCGUGGGGGAUAACGUAGCGAAAGCUACGCUAAUACCGCAUACGACCCGAGGGUGAAAGCGGGGGACUCGCAAGGGCCUCGCGCGAUUGGAGCGGCCGAUGGCAGAUUAGGUAGUGGGUGGGGUAAAGGCCCACCAAGCCUGCGAUCUGUAGCUGGUCUGAGAGGACGACCAGCCACACUGGGACUGAGACACGGCCCAGACUCCUACGGGAGGCAGCAGUGGGGAAUUUUGGACAAUGGGCGAAAGCCUGAUCCAGCCAUACCGCGUGCGGGAAGAAGGCCUUCGGGUUGUAAACCGCUUUUGUCAGGGAAGAAAUCUUCUGGGUUAAUACCUCGGGAGGAUGACGGUACCUGAAGAAUAAGCACCGGCUAACUACGUGCCAGCCGCCGCGGUAA
rnacentral:rRNA from 1 species